ACUCCUACGGGAGGCAGCAGUGGGAAUAUUGGACAAUGGGGGAACCCUGAUCCAGCCAUGCCGCGUGUGUGAAGAAGGCCUUCGGGUUGUAAAGCACUUUCAGUGGGGAGGAAAGGUUGAUGGUUAAUACCCUAUCAGCUGUGACGUACCCACAGAAGAAGCACCGGCUAACUCCGUGCCAGCAGCCGCGGUAAUACGGAGGGUGCAAGCGUUAAUCGGAAUUACUGGGCGUAAAGCGUGCGCAGGCGGUCUGUUAAGCGAGAUGUGAAAGCCCCGGG
rnacentral:rRNA from 1 species